UUGAGUGCAGUAGUAACAUUGGAAUUAAAUCUUGGCCUUGACUGAAUGGCAUUCUAGCCUAUUACAGAAUUAGAAGAAAUAAACAAUAAUGAACAGCUAAUAUGUUUCUGUAUGAAGAUGAAUGCCUUGUUACUUCAGAAUGGCAAGUACUAAAAUCAUGAUAGAUUCAGCCUUAAUCAUUUGCGUCGUAAUUUUUCUUUCCAACAUCUUUGUACUGUAAUGCAGUUGCAAGAGAGGCAGAAUUUGAGUUUUGGGGUUUCAUAUUCGUUAUGCUUGCUGCUGUCAUGUCUGGGUUUCGGUGGACAAUGACACAAAUACUUCUCCAAGUAUAAGCUGCAUUAUACCUGACUCAACUGAUUCAGUCUUGGUGUCUGAAUAAUUUUGUUCUUGUUUAUGUUUUAUUACCUAUAUAUGCUCUCAUGGUUGUGUUCCUUUCUUUUGUUUUUUAACAAUUGGUACAUGAUGAUAUCAAAAAUGGAAUGAAGAAAGAAACCUAUGGUCUUAAAAAUCCACUUACUUUGAUGAGCUAUGUGACCCCUAUAAUGGCAAUUGCAACUGGUGUUCUUUCUUUGAUGCUGGAUCCAUGACAUGAAUUGAGAAAGAACGAUUACUUUAAUAGCUCAUCGCAUAUUCUGAGAAGUAGUUUGCUAAUGUUGUUUGGUGGCACUCUGGCUUUCUUCAUGGUAUUAACAGAAUAUGUUCUUGUGUCUGUAACAAGUGCAGUAACAGUUACAAUAGCAGGGGUUGUGAAGGAAGCUGUUA